rnacentral:rRNA from 1 species
GAGUUUGAUCCUGGCUCAGGAUGAACGCUAGCUACAGGCUUAACACAUGCAAGUCGAGGGGCAUCAGGAAGAAAGCUUGCUUUCUUUGCUGGCGACCGGCGCACGGGUGAGUAACACGUAUCCAACCUGCCCUUUACUCGGGGAUAGCCUUUCGAAAGAAAGAUUAAUACCCGAUAGCAUAAUGAUUCCGCAUGGUUUCAUUAUUAAAGGAUUCCGGUAAAGGAUGGGGAUGCGUUCCAUUAGGUUGUUGGUGAGGUAACGGCCCACCAAGCCUUCGAUGGAUAGGGGUUCUGAGAGGAAGGUCCCCCACAUUGGAACUGAGACACGGUCCAAACUCCUACGGGAGGCAGCAGUGAGGAAUAUUGGUCAAUGGGCGCUAGCCUGAACCAGCCAAGUAGCGUGAAGGAUGAAGGCUCUAUGGGUCGUAAACUUCUUUUAUAUAAGAAUAAAGUGCAGUAUGUAUACUGUUUUGUAUGUAUUAUAUGAAUAAGGAUCGGCUAACUCCGUGCCAGCAGCCGCGGUAAUACGGAGGAUCCGAGCGUUAUCCGGAUUUAUUGGGUUUAAAGGGAGCGUAGGUGGAUUGGUAAGUCAGUUGUGAAAGUUUGCGGCUCAACCGUAAAAUUGCAGUUGAUACUGUCAGUCUUGAGUACAGUAGAGGUGGGCGGAAUUCGUGGUGUAGCGGUGAAAUGCUUAGAUAUCACGAAGAACUCCGAUUGCGAAGGCAGCUCACUGGACUGCAACUGACACUGAUGCUCGAAAGUGUGGGUAUCAAACAGGAUUAGAUACCCUGGUAGUCCACACAGUAAACGAUGAAUACUCGCUGUUUGCGAUAUACAGUAAGCGGCCAAGCGAAAGCAUUAAGUAUUCCACCUGGGGAGUACGCCGGCAACGGUGAAACUCAAAGGAAUUGACGGGGGCCCGCACAAGCGGAGGAACAUGUGGUUUAAUUCGAUGAUACGCGAGGAACCUUACCCGGGCUUAAAUUGCAGUGGAAUGAUGUGGAAACAUGUCAGUGAGCAAUCACCGCUGUGAAGGUGCUGCAUGGUUGUCGUCAGCUCGUGCCGUGAGGUGUCGGCUUAAGUGCCAUAACGAGCGCAACCCUUAUCUUCAGUUACUAACAGGUCAUGCUGAGGACUCUGGAGAGACUGCCGUCGUAAGAUGUGAGGAAGGUGGGGAUGACGUCAAAUCAGCACGGCCCUUACGUCCGGGGCUACACACGUGUUACAAUGGGGGGUACAGAAGGCAGCUAGCGGGUGACCGUAUGCUAAUCCCAAAAUCCUCUCUCAGUUCGGAUCGAAGUCUGCAACCCGACUUCGUGAAGCUGGAUUCGCUAGUAAUCGCGCAUCAGCCACGGCGCGGUGAAUACGUUCCCGGGCCUUGUACACACCGCCCGUCAAGCCAUGGGAGCCGGGGGUACCUGAAGUACGUAACCGCAAGGAGCGUCCUAGGGUAAAACUGGUGACUGGGGCUAAGUCGUAACAAGGUAGCCGUACCGGAAGGUGCGGCUGGAACACC